rnacentral:rRNA from 1 species
AUUGAACGCUGGCGGCAUGCCUUACACAUGCAAGUCGAACGGUAACAGGUCUUCGGAUGCUGACGAGUGGCGAACGGGUGAGUAAAACAUCGGAACGUGCCUAGUAGGGGGGGAUAACUACUCGAAAGAGUGGAUAAUACCGUAUGAGAUCCACGGAUGAAAGCAGGGGAUCGCAAGAACUUGUGCUACCAGAGCGGGCGAUGGCAGAUGCGGUAGUUGGUGGGAAAAAAGCUUACCAAGGCGACGAGCUGUAGCUGGUCUGAGAGGACGAUGCGCCACACGGGGACUGAGCCACGGCCCAGACUCCUACGGGGGGCAGCAGUGGGGAAUUUUGGACAAUGGGCGAAGGCCUGAUCCAGCACUGCCGCGUGCAGGAUGAAGGCCUUCGGGUUGUAAACUGCUUUUGUACGGAACGAAAUGCCCCGGGUUAAUACCCUGGGGUCAUGACGGUACCGUAAGAAUAAGCACCGGCUAACUACGUGCCAGCCGCCGCAGUAA